rnacentral:misc_RNA from 1 species
GAAAUGCGAUAAGUAAUGUGAAUUGCAGAAUUCAGUGAAUCAUCGAAUCUUUGAACGCACCUUGCGCUCCUUGGUAUUCCUUGGAGCAUGCCUGUUUGAGUAUCAUGAAAUCUUCAAAGUAAAUCUUUUGUUAACUCAAUUGGUUUCUACUUUGGUAUUGGAGGUCUUUGCAGCUUCACACCUGCUCCUCUUUGUUCAUUAGCUGGAUCUCAGUGUUAUGCUUGGUUCCACUCGGCGUGAUAAGUUAUCUAUCGCUGAGGACACUGUAAAAGGUGGCCAAGGUAAAUGCAGAUGAACCGCUUCUAAUAGUCCACUGGCUUGGACAAUACUUUUAUGAUCUGAUCUCAAAUCAGGUAGGACUACCCGCUGAACUUAAGC